rnacentral:rRNA from 1 species
AUUGCCCUAGUAACGGCGAGUGAAGCGGCAACAGCUCAAAUUUGAAAUCUGGCUCUCGGGCCCGAGUUGUAAUUUGUAGAGGAUACUUUUGAUGCGGUGCCUUCCGAGUUCCCUGGAACGGGACGCCAUAGAGGGUGAGAGCCCCGUCUGGUUGGAUGCCAAAUCUCUGUAAAGUUCCUUCAACGAGUCGAGUAGUUUGGGAAUGCUGCUCUAAAUGGGAGGUAUAUGUCUUCUAAAGCUAAAUACCGGCCAGAGACCGAUAGCGCACAAGUAGAGUGAUCGAAAGAUGAAAAGCACUUUGAAAAGAGAGUUAAAAAGUACGUGAAAUUGUUGAAAGGGAAGCGUUUAUGACCAGACUUGGGCUUGGUUAAUCAUCUGGGGUUCUCCCCAGUGCACUUUUCCAGUCCAGGCCAGCAUCAGUUUUCCCCGGGGGAUAAAGGCGGCGGGAAUGUGGCUCUCUUCGGGGAGUGUUAUAGCCCACCGUGUAAUACCCUGGGGGGGACUGAGGUUCGCGCAUCUGCAAGGAUGCUGGCGUAAUGGUCAUCAACGACCCGUCUUGAAACACGGACCAAGGAGUCGUCUUCGUAUGCGAGUGUUCGGGUGUCAAACCCCUACGCGUAAUGAAAGUGAACGCAGGUGAGAGCUUCGGCGCAUCAUCGACCGAUCCUGAUGUUCUCGGAUGGAUUUGAGUAAGAGCAUACGGGGCCGGACCCGAAAGAAGGUGAACUAUGCCUGUAUAGGGUGAAGCCAGAGGAAACUCUGGUGGAGGCUCGCAGCGGUUCUGACGUGCAAAUCGAUCGUCAAAUAUGGGCAUGGGGGCGAAAGACUAAUCGAACCUUCUAGUAGCUGGUUUCCGCCGAAGUUUCCCUCAGGAUAGCAGUGUUGAACUCAGUUUUAUGAGGUAAAGCGAA